GGAACGAAGGAGACUGCAGGGGAGGUGGGGAGUGAAAGCUGGAUUAACCUCACCCUCUUGGCCCCGGGUCUGCUCUGCCUCCUAAUCCCCAGUUGGUCGGUCUCAAGCUGCAGCUGACACCUGACCACCGUUUGGCAACAUGGCAGGUUUUCUUCACUAGCCGUUUCCAAAGACCUGGAAUCCAAAGACCAGCCCCUGUGCACAAGGAGAAAUACCUGCUCACACACUUCGAGGAGUAAUGAAGAGAACAAGAUCACGUCUAGUGGACAGGCCAAGGCGGUGCUGGCCCUGGGGAGGCCCAUCUAUGUGACUCUUGCCUCUUCUCUUAGCUGUGGGUCCUUCUUGGAGUGAAGACCCCAGGACCAGCAUCCGCCUGCUUCCCUUUCUUGGAUGUGAUAAUCACCAAGCUUCCCUGUGUCCUCAAGGUGGAACCAGCCCAGCCCAAAUCGAAGAGCUCAAGGACCCCUGCCGCAAUUAUUCUCCUUCUCCUCCUCCUCUUCACCUCCUUCCUUUUGGUAUGUACAUGGAUGUUUUGCCUACAUGUAUGUUUGUAUACCACAUGCUCUUAACCUCUGAGCCAUCUCUUCAGCUCCCUUGUCCCAGUUCUUAAGAGAUCCAACCACUCUGACAGUCUUGUCUUUACACCAGGGUGAGCAGAAGAAUUUUGGGGGUGGAUGUAAGAGACGCCACUCUGCCUGCCCUCACUAUACUUGAAUGACACCUUUCAUUAAGCACCUGCCUUCUCCAGUUGUAGGGGAACAGCUGCCGCCCAUCAGAGUCUCCCUGAAUAAAAUGAAAGUUUGCAGCAGGCUUUCAUGCUGAUGAGCAAUCCUGUGCAGUCCCUCAGUCCAUUUUACAGACAAGAAAACAGACAUCGGGCAGCUGAAGAAACCUGGAGUCCCUUGUUGCCUGUAUCUGUCACCCAACAGACCUCUCAAACAGAACUUCAAGUCAAUUUCCACAACAAUGAUUGUGCUAAAAAACACUUCUAACAGGUAGAACCUAAGUAGAGAAGUGUGGAGGGCUUAUUAGCCCAAAGUGGCCUACUGCUGUGUUGAUUUUUCUCUUGGAGGCCAUAGAGGAACAGAUCCUCCGGAGAACCUGAGUUAGAGGAAAAAGCUGAUGGCUAGGGGCUUCAACCCUGAGCUCCAAAUUGCAGUCAACUGCCAGAAUCCACUGGGAAUUCUGCUCUGAUACUCACUGAAUUCAGGGUUAGGGUUAGGGUUAGGGCUAGGGCUUGAGUAGAGAAAUGGAGCAAACUCAUCCUAGCAUGCUAGAAAGGCACUCUGUGCUGGGGAGAGCAGAGUUAGAGUUAUGAGCGUCACAUAAAAGUGGUUUCAAAUCCCAUCAUUGACUCUGACUGCUGGGCAACUUCUCAUAUGUAACUUUCCCUUCGAUGCUUUAUCUGAGGAACAGUGAUGUUUCCUACACCCAUCCCUGCUGAGAGGGUAGAUGCCCCCUUUGAAGGGGUUGUCCUUCUGUAUAUAUGCUUCUCUUAUUGGUUAAUGAAUAAAACACUGGUUGGCCAAGCAGGAAGAUAGGAGGGGCUAGGAGAUGAGGAGAAUUCUGGGAGAUGUAGGCAGACAGCAGUUAUCAUGUGAGCCCCGCAAGAGAGGACACCAGUCAGGCGUUCUCUGGUAAGAUGAGACCAUUGGAAAUACAUGUGUUAGUAGUUACAGAUUAGUAAUUAAGACAGAGCUAGCCAAUAAGAAGCUCAAGCCAUCGGCCAACAGUUUUAUAAUUAA